GACAGAGGGGGCAAGCGUUGCUCGGAAUCACUGGGCGUAAAGGGCGCAUAGGCGGGAUGGCAAGUCAGUCGUGAAAUCUCUCGGCUCAACCGAGAAACGUCGGCUGAUACUGCCGUUCUUGAGGGAUGCAGAGGAGACUGGAAUUCCCGGUGUAGCGGUGAAAUGUGUAGAGAUCGGGAGGAACACCAAUGGCGAAAGCAGGUACCUGGACUAUUACUGACACUCAGCUGCGAAAGCUAGGGGAGCAAACAGG
rnacentral:rRNA from 1 species